rnacentral:rRNA from 1 species
ACGGGUGAGUAACACGUGGAUGAUCUACCCUUGAGCGGGGGAUAACAGUCCGAAAGGAUUGCUAAUACCGCAUACGUCAGCUGGCGAUGGUCAGUUGGGAAAGCAGCCCUCUUCAUGAAAGGUUGCACUCGAGGAUGAGUCCGCGUCCCAUCAGCUAGUUGGUAGGGUAAUGGCCUACCAAGGCUAAGACGGGUAGCUGGUCUGAGAGGAUGAUCAGCCACACUGGAACUGAGACACGGUCCAGACUCCUACGGGAGGCAGCAGUGGGGAAUAUUGGGCAAUGGGCGCAAGCCUGACCCAGCCACGCCGCGUGAGUGAUGAAGGCCUUCGGGUCGUAAAGCUCUGUGGGGAGGGACGAAAAAACGCUGGCCAAUAUCCAGCGGACUGACGGUACCUCCUUAGCAAGCACCGGCUAACUCUGUGCCAGCAGCCGCGGUAAUACAGAGGGUGCAAACGUUGCUCGGAAUCAUUGGGCGUAAAGCGCACGUAGGCGGCCUAGCAAGUAGGGAGUGAAAGCCCUCGGCUUAACCGAGGAAGUGCUUUCUAAACUACUAGGCUUGAAUACUGGAGAGGGUCGCGGAAUUCCC